AAAAAAAGAGUUGGGUUAUUGGAUAUUUGAUUAUAAAAAUGGAUAUGGAUUUUUUUAGGAAUAAUCCAAUAUCAGUUUGAACAUCAAUUUAAUUAAUAAUAACAAAUCAGCAAAAAACCAAAAAAACAAAUUAAUCUAUAAUUCACUUAAAAUUACUUGGAUACCAACUCUAACAUUCAUUUGGAAAUUAAAAUCGAUUAGAGUUUGAAUCAUUAGUAAAAUAAACAAUUAAGAUUAAAUUGACAAUUGGAAUUAAACUUAAUUCGAAAUUAAAAUCAAAUUGAAAGUUUAAAAAAGUCAAAUAAUAAAAAUCCAUUUUAUAAUAAAAAAAC
rnacentral:lncRNA from 1 species